rnacentral:rRNA from 1 species
AUUGAACGCUGGCGGCAGGCCUAACACAUGCAAGUCGAACGGUAACAGGAAGCAGCUUGCUGCUUUGCUGACGAGUGGCGGACGGGUGAGUAAUGUCUGGGAAACUGCCCGAUGGAGGGGGAUAACUACUGGAAACGGUAGCUAAUACCGCAUAACGUCGCAAGACCAAAGAGGGGGACCUUAGGCCUCUUGCCAUCGGAUGUGCCCAGAUGGGAUUAGCUAGUAGGUGGGGUAACGGCUCACCUAGGCGACGAUCCCUAGCUGGUGUGAGAGGAUGACCCGCCACACUGGAACUGAGACACGGUCCAGACUCCUACGGGAGGGAGCAGUGGGGAAUAUUGCACAAUGGGCGCGAGCCUGAUGCAGCCAGGCCGCGUGUAUGGAGAAGGCCUUCGGGUUGUAAAGUACUUUCAGCGGGGAGGAAGGGAGUAAAGUUAAUACCUUUGCUCAUUGACGUUACCCGCAGAAGAAGCACCGGCUAACUCCGUG